GUAGGGUGCGAGCGUUGUCCGGAAUUAUUGGGCGUAAAGGGCUCGUAGGCGGUUUGUCACGUCGGGAGUGAAAACUCAGGGCUCAACCCUGAGCCUGCUUCCGAUACGGGCAGACUAGAGGUAUGCAGGGGAGAACGGAAUUCCUGGUGUAGCGGUGAAAUGCGCAGAUAUCAGGAGGAACACCGGUGGCGAAGGCGGUUCUCUGGGCAUUACCUGACGCUGAGGAGCGAAAGUGUGGGGAGCGAACAGGAUUAGAUACCCUGGUAGUCCACACCGUAAACGUUGGGCGCUAGGUGUGGGACUCAUUCCACGAGUUCCGUGCCGCAGCUAASGCAUUAAGCGCCCCGCCUGGGGAGUACGGCCGCAAGGCUA
rnacentral:rRNA from 1 species